rnacentral:rRNA from 1 species
ACCUUGGCCAAAUUAUUCAGAAUAAACCAUAUCUCAUCACAUCUCUGAAGCUAAGCAGGGUUUGAGCCUGGACAGUGCUUGGAUGGGCGACCAUCAUGCGUAACGGGUGUUUUAGGAU